GCUUUGGGAGCUCAUGGCUGCUGCAGAAAGACUUGAAAGAGAGGCUCAAACCUGCUGCUCACCAGCAGGAGCAAUCUGGUUUAAGAAAACACUUCAUCCUCACCUCUGGGUGAAAAUGAAAUACUGCUUAUGACUUUGGUGUGGCUACAUCUGUUGGAGAGUAUGUAUGAAUAGGGCAGGCCAGAGGUAGGAAGGUGUAGAGCCAGAAGAAAAUAUUGCUGCUUAAAGGAGCCACAGCACCUUUCUUCCUGUGGAAAUCCUUUCACUUACUCCUGGGAUGCUGGGUUUCUCCUGGGGGCUGUUUUCUUAUUUUCUAUCCUAUUCUCCCUAGCCUUGUCGCUCUUCCUUGUAUUAGUCUCCCUUCUAAGAUUCGAUCCAUUCUCCUUUGGAACCUGAGUGUCAAUUUUUCCUUCUUCUCCUUUACCCUGUGUUUUCCUCUAAAUAUCUUCAUUUCAAUCCUUUAGUCUUCCUUUGCCCUUAAAGGUUUUAUGACAAUAAGUUUCAUGGAAAAUCUAGAUUCCAACUCAUCAUCUGGGCAUGCUCAGGAGAGAAGAGCUGCAUCAGUAACUGGAAGCUCUCUGUGUGCUGUGCUCUAGGGAGAUGAUACAUAUGAAAAACAUGCCAAGAAAAGAUUAGUCAAGGUCAGGGGCAACCUAGCCUGGACUUGCCUGGGUCAGAACAUGCCUCUUUUUUCUAAGUGCAAGCAAAAAAUCUAUUUGUAAUGUUUUUUCUAAGGCAAGGACACUUUGAUUUGCAUUGUUGCAAAGCUUUUUUUGGCCAUAGGUUGAGAUAGACUCCUCUGAUCAGCUCCAUAAAGGUGGCAGAUAGGUAUCUCUUGGGUGACGCAAUGAAAAUCCACCUCCAGCCCCCUUCCCGUAUCCACCAGCAAGCCAGUGGCAUUGGGAGCAGCUGAUUCUUAGGACUGUGUAAUGAGUAACCCUUGUGAUUGAUUUCCUUCUAUUUUUGUGGAAGGCUGAUGUACGAAUUGUGUCAGUUUGGGAUCCCUGGAGCUAGGAACGUGUUUGAUCACAUCUGCUGGCAGGCAGAGGCCAGUGGGAUGUGUAAGGCUCUGGCCAUGGGUUCAGGUGACUGCUUUCCACAGUUAUUUUCUCUGGCACUGCCUGAGAUGAGCAAGUGGGGAAUUUCUGAAAACCUGUUUUGCUCAGUCCCAAGCUGCAAGGGAAGGGCAUUCCCUCCCACUCUUCCUUGCCUCCGACAGCCCUCACCUUCUCUGUCUUGCCUUAGGGCUAAGAGGGGUCUGGAGAAGAGGAAACUAAGCACCUAAAACUAAGAGGAGUGAAAUUGUUUGUGGAGUUAGGCAGAAACUAAAGUGGGAUUAUCUGGAGGGUGGAAAGGAAAGAGCAAAACUGUUCUCAUUACCCCAGUUGUGGUAACUUUAUUAACUCCAUCUCUACACUCAAAAAAGUAGGAACCCCGCAAACCUUACCUUUGAACACCUCUACUGUUCACUGGGUUACUAAUUGAAGCCUGUGAAGGUUUGUCAGUCAAGGCUCCUGUUUCCUUGUAACAGC